GCGGGGAUAGCUUAGUUGGGAGAGCGUCAGACUGAAGAUCUGAAGGUCAGGUGUUCGAUCCACGUUCAUCGCA
rfam:Ipomoea nil DNA, scaffold: scaffold2144, cultivar: Tokyo-kokei standard.